UACAGAGGUCUCAAGCGUUGUUCGGAUUCAUUGGGCGUAAAGGGUGCGUAGGCGGCGCGGUAAGUCGGGUGUGGAAAUCUUGGAGCUUAACUCCGAAACUGCAUUCGAUACUGCCGUGCUUGAGGACUGGAGAGGAGACUGGAAUUUACGGUGUAGCGGUGAAAUGCGUAGAUAUCGUAAGGAAGACCAGUGGCGAAGGCGG
rnacentral:rRNA from 1 species